CCAUGUCCGGCCGGGAACCCGCAAUUUGGAGGAGCACGCGGUGAUGCGGCGGGCCGAUGCGGGGAGAGUUCGCCCUCCACCAUCUAUGGACCCUAGCCAGACCUUCUCCAUCUUUACACCCUUACUUCUCCACCAUUAAUUAGAGAGGGCGUAAGAGAUGAAGAGGAGACAUGAGAAACAAGAGACGAGGGAGGACCAUCACCAGUCAAUAUAUGUCGCGUGAUGCAUGUAUAGCGGUCGACUAUGCUCCUCUGUCCACCUCCCCUGCUGCAGAGGAGAUUAAUCCAUCAAGGAGCAGCAGCUACGAUGGCUCCCUCUAGCAGCACCUUGACCUGCCCUACUGCGUGAGAUGUUGGCAGCGGUAGGUGAUUUUGCAUGGUGGGUGAUUUUCUUGCGGCGGGCGAUUUAUGGCCGGGAUGCUCCUCCUUCCAGCCGUUCUGGGUCUGCAAGAAGAGGAGAAGCAAGGGAAGGUGAUAUCCACUAAUAUACUGACUUGUGUUAUGCGUGAACUUCGAUUUUUUUGUUAGUACUGUUAUUAAAUUAAGCUAAAUAUUUGUUCGGCUCUGUUACAUAUGUUUCGUGAUAUUGCAAAACAAAGUAGUUGAUUCUCAACUACUCAGAAUUAAGUGUAUGAUACCAUCUCAACUUGCAAGAUCAAAAUCAGAUUCCAAUGCCCCUACAGUACUAAUCUGGUAAAAAAGCUCAUCUUCCAAAUUUACCUACAACUGUUUGGUGCAAGGUUAUGAUUUCCAUAUUCUUAUCUAGCAAGUGUUCUACAUAAUUGGAUAUGAUUCAUACGGAAUCCAUAACUUGUGAUGAGCUUGACUUGGAGUUCAGACAAAGGUUGUUACAGAACAUUGGUGUAUUGAUAUCUAACAAAUUGAGUCAUACUGGGUCGACCUACUUAAACUGCCCUUUCACAUUUCUAAUUGUGAGACUUUCUCAUGUAUGAUCCAUUGCCAUGCAGUGUUUCUCCUCGGUGAGAUGGUGCAUUAAGAAGGAUAUCUAAUCAUGUGAACUGGACAUGGCUAAAUGUACCAAUUAGCUACAAAUGUGUAUGCAAGUUGUAGGUACGUUAUUUUUUUUAACUUCAUUAGUUUGUCGAGCUUAAGCAUCUUGAUGGCGCAAUAGGCAGACGCCAGUUACAUUAACAUAUUGUACUAGCUCUUUCUUUACAUCUGCUCCAGCAGAUAUCCUUGAAACUUCACACGGUAGUAUCUAUAUUGAUUAAAGUUCUGCUACAUAACCUCAAUUAGUCCACUUAAUUUACCUCCUCUGUCCUCCAUCUACUGCCCCUGAAGUAAUAGCCAUCUUAAUUGUUUCUGUUUGCUGAGAAACAUGUGCUCUUUUGGGUUACAAUGUUGGCUUUGUUUAUUUACAAUCUCAGGUAUUUUGUUUCAGGUCUGUAGCACAGGGUGUCGCUACGUCUUUGUUGGUUUUUGCAGGUUUGGUGUUUGAUAAAUAGAUUUGUUUUCAUCCAAAGCUAGGUCUGUAUGGAUUCAAAGGUUCAUGCGCCAUCGUCUCCUACACUGAUUUUCAUUGCAGACGGAAGGCAAUCAGUUAAAUGUGUCGCAAUGCUCAAUACUAUCAGGUGAAGUAGUGUGUCUGUGUGAUUAAUUGGUGGACUCAUGGGGUUGGUUUAUAUUAUUAGGUGGGCUAGAUCUCACUUUCUUCUCGUGUCUGCAUGCAAUUAUUUCAAUCUUUCUUAUUCAGACAUUUCUUUGUUUUCAAACUCAAUCUGCAAUAACUUUAGACUCGUGUAUAUGUUCUUUAGAUGAUUCUUUGCAUAGCUCUCUCUCUCUCUCUCUCUCUCUCUCUCUCUCUCUCUCUGUCUAUGAACUACAAAACUUGAUGGAACGAUGAUGCCAUUUUUGUGGUUGCCUGAUUAAUCCAUAUCAUUUAUGCAGCAACAUGAUUCGUGAAGAGAUGGUUUUUGUUGGGCUUAUCAGCCAUAGUGAACAGAUGGCUUUAAUCCUCGCUGGUUGUACUGCAGUACUAUCGCUUAGGUGCAAUGUAUAUCAUAUGCUUAUUAUACUUGCAAAACUGAUGAUUUAGUUUGGGUGUGCCAAAUUGCCAAUAUAUCACAGGUUCAGCUUCAGUUUCAUGGUUGACCUUAUAUUGGUCACCGAACGUGAAUAUGCUUCACUUGACAAAUCUUGCCACAGCUAGAUCGGAGGCUACAAGUUCUAGGUGAAUAACUUAUGUCUUUAUUUUAGUUCCUAUUUUUUGGACUACUUAGACACCAGCAUCUUUAUUGUUAUGGCAUGGCAUGGUGGCUGUGUAUGGAGAUUAUCUACCCCUUGCAUUAAUUUUUGGACGGUUGGGCUAACAAACCCACAAUCAGAUGGCUGCUUUGUGUUUGGUCCCUUAUGUUCUUUCUAUUAAAGCAUUAGCGGCCUCGCCAGUACUACCAGCGGGAUCGUCAUCUAGGUUCUUGCCUACUGUCUCUAGAUCGUAUGUUGCGCCACAAUGGACUGUCGAGAGAUCAGCGACAUCGAGAUGCAGCCUACAUGUACUUUCUCCUGUUCUUUCCCAAUCUUUCAACUACUGAUGCUCUUUACCUAUUUUGGAAGGCGAACAAAUUCAGUUCCAACAAAUUAUGGCGCUAUUUCCUAAUCUGAAAUGGUGCUUAUCAGAACUAUGUCUAAAAAAAAAUACUACUUAGCUUUGCCACUAAUUCUACUCUACAUCUGUACAUAUUCCCUAUACGGCUUGCAACUACUAUGCUGAACAUAGAAAUGUGGCGCAAAUAUUUUUGAUAAGCUAUCUAAUGAGAUUUCCUUUCUUACAAAGGCACAUUAGUUUGAGGAGAUUGGUCCCUAACAGCUGAGGCAGCCAUUCAGUCGGCCUGAAGGACAUCAACAAUAAUGGGAGAAUUUGUGUCGACAUCUUGAAGGACGAAAGGAGCUCUACUCUCAACUAUUUCCAAGCCACUGAAGGUUUGCUCUUUUUUGAGUGGAUAAACUCCCCAAUUUCAUAUGUUAAGACAUAGAAAUUUAAAGAGUACAUCGUUUCAUAUGGGAGCUUUUGUGUCGACAUCUUGACGGAAGAAAGGAGCUCUACUCUUAACUAUUUCCAAGCCAUUCAAGGUUUGUUCUUUUUUGAAUGGAUAAACUCCCAGUUUCAUAUGUCAAGAUAUAGAAAUUUAAAAAGUACAGCGUUUCAUAUAAAUUACGUAGAACAUACUUUAUAUAUGUGUACUGAAUAUGUUUCUUUAGUAUGGAAAUUAAGUGCCCUCUUUUACUGGAUUAAACCUAAACUUAAUUUUUUGUACUUAUCUCGGUCUUAAAAUAUCAUUGGUAUCUGUAGGUCAAGAAAAAAAUGUCUGUUUAUAGAUAUUUAUACUAAAUAUGCUUUUUCUCAAAAAGAAAAAAAAAACUGAUCGGGCCAAUGAGGCGAAAUCUCAAGUAUCAACUUGCUUCUCAUUCCGUUUUGCUGGGUAGAUUGUGCCCCGCUUUCAAAAAUGGUUUUAUUUAUUUACUGAGAGUUCGUUUGUACAUAUACAUUUGUUAUCUUUGGUCCUUUGCAAAUGCCAAUAAGAAAGGGCAACAUAUCGAUGUAAUCUGGAAUAAGAACUUUACUCAUAGUACCUCCAUGUUUUCAUUCUGCUCUAUAACUAGCAUUUUUUGUUUACCUUUUCUGCACUAUAGGUAGAAUAGGGAAGGCCUCCAGUUCAGUUACUUGCAGAGCUGGCUGAUAAUUGAUGAGUUUUGAAGGCCCAGUUCAGUUACUGAGAGAUGAGGAGUUUUACAGGUGGUUUUCAUCAUAACAUGGUAAGAACGGACCAAUUUCUUGGAAGUGGUGAAGUAAGAAUAUGUGCAUAACUAUUAAUUUUUGGAACUGUUUUUAGAUUGUCAUCGCAUGAUAUUUCAUCAAUUUUAUUUGGCCAUAUUGUGCUUGCUGACUGUUCGCACCUUUCAUAUGCUGAUGAUUUUACUGUUGAGUUAAUUUUUGGUUCGCACCCUGUAUUUUGCUGCUUCUGUUAGACAUUUUGUAUAUAUCACUGAUAUAUCUACAUUGUAUUGCAAAUAGUUGUAUUGUCAAAUAUGGGUAAAAAUUACUGAUCUUCAAAUAUAAGUUCCAGUAGAUGAAAGUUAAUGUCAUCAAGUUAUUGAACAAGCAACCGACUUCUUCAACUCUUCAUGGUACUAGCAGGGUUUGAGCUGAUCUAAGUUUCUAAAAUAGACUAUUUUAUGUUUGGCAUGGAAUUUGGUAGGUUGCCAGUUAACCCACUUUGUUGGGUCUUGCUUUCGCAAUGGAUUAGAUGUUUUCUCAUUUAUUAUCUAAGUUGUCUUUUAAAGUAAAUUAACACAUAUUUUAGUAUUAGUACCUUUAUAAAUAUGUAGGUUUGUCCAGGCUUUUUGCAAUCAAGGCCUUGUAUAAAAAUGGUGUGUCAUGCGAUAGCAUCGGUGCAUUUGGGUUGUUUGGCCGAGGCAGUUCGGAACUGUUAGGGGCUACCCACCUGAUGCAGAUAUAAUGAUGAAUGCUCUCACAAAACUAUUUGAAUCAUAUAGUGUCUAUAAUGCCGCAUCAAAGGUACUUCUUGAAAUAAAACAUCAUUACUUAUACCUUGGGCUGCCUUGAGAAUUUGUUGAUUCUUCUUGCUUGAAAUUUUAGGAGUCACACACCUGAAGCAUUGUUUCCUUGCCCAUCUCUAUGCUAGACUUUAAUAUGACAACAAGCAGUGAAGCAAGUUAGUUCAAUUGAAUUAAAUUCGAGAGGAUAUCUCAAACAACAUUACUACUAAUAACAUUUCCCUUCUAUUUUUCUUCCUAAUAUGCUACACUAAUUGUCGUGUCAAAUGCAACUAUGGCUUCUACGUUUUUCUGCUGGUGCCUAUGAACUUGCACACAUGCGCGAGAAAAGCAAUUACUCUCGGUCAAAGCUCAAGAAGAUUAGUUUUGAGGUUGUUGUUGUGUGGCGACAAGGGCUUUGUGAUUAUGCCAAUUUGCUCUGUAAUAUAAUAUGGCUAAUAAUCUUGCAUUUUCACGGGCUGCCUUAAACAUAAGGUUAGUGUGGUAGUUUUCCAGUGCAAUAAUAUAUGUACAUAUAUCAUCGUGGUAAUGAAUAAUUUGCCUGUAGUUGUUUCACGGUUGAACUCCCCUAUAACCAUGCAAUGCAUAUGAUUCUUGAAUAUUCAGGGCAUGUCCAUAAUAUCUGCUUUAUUUUCUUUCCAUGUUCCUAUUCCGGAGAUGUCUCCUCUAAACACAAGUUAUGUCAAGUUAGUUAUAGUUUUGUGCUAUCACAGUCUUAGAUUAUGUGUGCAAGCAAAUUUUGUUUAUUACAGUUACCACAAACCAUAAGAAGCUGGACCUUUCUGAUUUUGGACUUGCAAGAGAGGAAACAGUGACAAGCUUGAUGACCGAUGAAGCUAGGAUAUGCUGAUGGAAUCACUCUUUUCUGGAAUGGCUACUUAACAUUACAAAAUUAUGAACUGAAGUGAGCAAAGAGUAUACAAGUAACAUGCUGGCUAUCAUAUUAGAUGGUUCUUUCUGUAUUGCGCAGCUUCAUUGUGAUUUAAAGUUGACAUUCUCGUAUCUAGAUUCAUUUUCAGCUAGCGCACCGUGGACAAGAUAUUUAUUUUGGCUUGUUCGAAUAUGUAGAUAUGGUUAGCUAAUUGCAUGCGUGCAUCAGCAUGCUUAUGGACAACUUUUUUUUGUUGGUAUGGACAGCUUGCUAUUCCUUUUUCAUGCCUAAAUCAAUGGACUUUAUACAAGUUUGAUGACUUCAUUUGGGCCAGCUCUGCAUACUCUGAUAUUAAUGUAUUAAUAAUACUUACACUUGAGGUGCAUAUGCAGUACAUUGUCCAAAAUAUGUAUAGGGACAGUAGAUUUAAAAAUUAAAUCUACUAUGUUAUUAGGGGAAUAUUUAGUGAGUGUAGGUGAUUUGUUCUCUUUUGAACUAAUAUUUUCGUUAUUUCUACUAGGUGGGCAUCUUUGAGCUGAAAGGAACUUGCUGGUCGAAGACUUGCCAUCGGCUCAAUUCAUAAACAAAAUUACAUCAACAAUUGUAUUAUGUUCUAUGUGUUUGCUCAAGUCUUUUUUCGUUCAUUAUCCUUAUAAGCCUUGUAAUCUUUUUCUCAGAUAAGAAUAGUCAUAUAGUUGUCUGA